rnacentral:lncRNA from 1 species
GCACACCCAAGAGGGGACCAGGCGGGGGGCCGGGGGGCGGGCUUCCCUGGGAGGAAGGUGGGCGGCCCUGCAGGAGGGGAGCCACAGUGGAUGCACAGGGCCAGAGAGCCGGACAGGCGAGCUUGGGUGUGCAGGUGCCGCCUCCACAUGGCUGAGGUGUGGCCAGGCGGUCCUCCCACACCCUGGCCUGUGGAGCCAGGCUCCCUGGGAACCCCUGGCCUGAGGAUGGGAAGGGGCUGAGCUUGUCACAGGGGUGUGGAUGCCACCUGGCGGGAGGGAGU